rnacentral:tRNA from 1 species
GUAGUCGUGGUCGAGUGGUUAAGGCGACAGACUUGAAAUCUGUUGGGAUAUUCCCGCGCAGGUUGGAAUCCUGCCGACUAAG